AUGCUAUCAACUCAACUUAUAAAAUAACUUUAAAUUUUAUGAAUACUUAUUUCUGAAAAAUAAAUUUUUUCCACUCGCAUAAUACAAGCUAUAGCCUAGGAUGGUCGGUGGGCUUUUCCAAUGUUCUCGUCACUACCUGAAAUAUAAUAUAAGAUAACCAUAUUAACUAUUAACAAAUUUAGAAACCUUUUAUCUCUAAUGAUAUAAUACUUAAACUAAGUUUUUCAAUACUUGAAUAAAUUUCCUAGAUAUUUCUUUAAUCAAUUGAAGCUAAUUCUACUUUCUAAUACCAUCACAAAUAUAUACUUUAUCCAAAUUUACCUUCAUCCCACUCGUAAAAAUAAUUAUCGCUUUAAAUUUAGUGAAAACUAGCAAUCAUACUACAACCAAUUUUAUAGACAUCUUGUUCCAUAGCACCAUUCUUUCAAGUGAAUAAUUUCAUCAAUGUAAUCACUUUCACAAUUAAUCCUUACUCAAGCAUCCAAUUUAAAAUCUAGGGUUUGCCAAAAAUGGUACUUCUUACCUUAAUGAAAUUGGAAACUAAAGAAUCAAGAAACUUGAGCUCCAAUUUGUACUCAUAUCUCAUAAAUCAGAAAAUUUAUACCACUAAUUAAAACCCUAGAAAUUUAACAUAAAAUUAUUCCUUUAUCUCUUGAAGAAAAUAAAGAAAAGGCAAAAUGAAAACAAGCUUGAACUACCUAUUUUCCCUUCUUCUCCUCCUCUUUUUCCUUUUCCUCUUCUUUUUCUUGUUUUCUUUCUCCUUUUCUUCCUCCCCGUUUUCUCUUCUGCUCUCGGCUGUGUGUGGG
rnacentral:lncRNA from 1 species